rnacentral:rRNA from 1 species
UGGGUAACCUGCCUCAAAGAGGGGAAUAGCCUCCCGAAAGGGAGAUUAAUACCGCAUAAUAUGUUUAAGUCGCAUGACUUUAACAUCAAAGGAUUUUCUUUUAAGAAAUUCCACUUUGAGAUGGACCCCGCGGCGCAUUAGCUAGUUGGUGAGGUAACGGCUCACCAAGGCAACGAUGCGUAGCCGACCUGAGAGGGUGAUCGGCCACAUUGGAACUGAGACACGGUCCAGCUCCGUAGGAGG